rnacentral:rRNA from 1 species
UACGUAGGGGCCGAGCGUUGUCCGGAGUUACUGGGCGUAAAGCGUGCGCAGGCGGCGCGUUCUGCCCGGCGUGAAAGCCCCCGGCUCAACCGGGGAGGGUCGUCGGGGACGGGCGCGCUUGAGGGUAUCAGGGGCUGGUGGAAUUCCCGGUGUAGUGGUGAAAUGCGUAGAGAUCGGGAGGAACACCUGUGGCGAAGGCGGCCAGCUGGGAUACACCUGACGCUCAUGCGCGAAAGCUGGGGUAGCGAACCGGAUUAGAUACCCGUGUAGUCCCUGAGCGGGCU